AGAAUCAACGCUGGCGGCGUGCCUAACACAUGCAAGUCGAACGGGAAAGUGGAGCAAUCCAUGAGUAUAGUGGCGACCGGGUGAGUAACACGUGACUACCUACCCUUGAGUGGGGGAUAACCUCGGGAAAACCGAGGCUAAUACCGCAUAAUAUCGAAAGAUCAAAGGAGUAAUCCGCUUUUGGAGGGGGUCGCGGCUGAUUAGCUAGUUGGCGGGGUAAUGGCCCACCAAGGCAGUGAUCUGUA
rnacentral:rRNA from 1 species